GACGUAGGGCGCGAGCGUUGUCCGGAUUUAUUGGGCGUAAAGAGCUCGUAGGCGGCUUGUCGCGUCGACUGUGAAAUCCCGCGGCUCAACUGCGGGUCUGCAGUCGAUACGGGCAGGCUAGAGUUCGGUAGGGGAGACUGGAAUUCCUGGUGUAGCGGUGAAAUGCGCAGAUAUCAGGAGGAACACCGGUGGCGAAGGCGGCAUCCUGGACCGGCAUUGACGCUGAGGCGCGAAAGCUAGGGGAGCAAACGGG
rnacentral:rRNA from 1 species